rnacentral:lncRNA from 1 species
CCUUUUGCUCUUCUCUUUCUGUGUCUAUUGAUUUCCCGCCCACUCACAUUUUCUUUAUCGAAUCUUUCUAGGCAGAUAGGACAACUCCUGCUUGCUCUUGGCCUUGGCUGCUUAGAGACAUUCCUUUAGUUCGUCUUAGAGAAUGGAAUUCCUAAUUCCGUUUUCGUCUUUCUUAUUGUAGGUUGGUCAUCUGUUUCAUUUUGAAUUCCAUCUCUUGC